UGGAUAUAAAGAAAAAUGAGUUUGUUUCAGUUAAACUUCACAAGACCAAGGGUUAACAUACGGCAUGAACGUGUAAUAAAAAUCAAGCGCACUCACUGAAUAUAAGGCCUAUAAAAGUUCUAACCUUCUAGACCUACAAGUUUUUCAACCCAAUCUAUAGAGAGGAAGGAAUUAAGGGUUCGGCUUCUUGUAUAACAGACGAAAGUGUCAGGUAGUCAACAUAGCCGUAAAUCCAAUUCUAGUCUCCUUGUAUAUGGCAGUGGAAUGAUCCACUUGAUACUCUACAUUUACAACUUACAAACUUUGAAGAAUCCCUACUAUAACAUGUCCUGAAACCACGGAUCAAACUUGAUCUGCCAGC
rnacentral:lncRNA from 1 species